CAAAGAAGGACGUGGUUACCAAGUAUCCCUACCAUGAAGUCAAGGCUGGAUUUGGGUCAGAUUUUGUGUCUGCUGAAGUGUAUGGGCACAUACUUCAGUGGCUUGGGCAAUCCUUGACACGCCGUCUAGUGAGAGAUAAACGUCGCCCUUACACUAAGUCAGUG